GCUUACGUGGCUGAGAGGCCGCGCGGCGGAGGACCCGACAAGCGACGGCUGCCGCCUGCGGACCCCUCGCCUGCCAGGACCCAGUGAUGACGCCGAAGACGCCACCGCACGCCGGAGCCGGCUUACGUGGCUGAGAGGCCGCGCGGCGGAGGACCCGACAAGCGACGGCUGCCGCCUGCGGACCCCUCGCCUGCCAGGACCCAGUGAUGACGCCGAAGACGCCACCGCACGCCGGAGCCGGCUUACGUGGCUGAGAGGCUGCGCGGCGGAGGACCCGACAAGCGACGGCUGCCGCCUGCGGACCCCUCGCCUGCCAGGACCCAGUGAUGACGCCGAAGACGCCACCGC